AUGCGCUGGAGAAUACGAACGAAGAAUAUGCGCGUAGCAUAGUUCGACCAUACCAGAGACGAAAUAACGUCGAUACACCUUUCAUCGCUAACAAAAGGAAACGAAACGAAAAAGAAGGAAGAUAGCGCGAGGAAAAACGUGCCUCGUUCGUACGUUUCGCCGUGGUUAUGACUACGCGAGAUAAUACGUGCUCUUUUCUCCCGAUGAUCGGUAACUCGCGCGUUUCAUAAUUCUCCUGGAAAGAGAUACAUACUUUGCGAAACGUCGACUAUCAACACUUUACCGAGUCUUUACAUUCCUGACGUUUGCUUUGCUUCUACGCGAUGUAACUUUGACCGUUAUGCAAACAUUAUAUCCUCGUUUAUCGGAUAUUCGUUUGGCGAUGUAGUCCUGGUGUCAACGACCUUGUAUGUACAAUCACUACCAACGUACUCUCGACUCUCGAUGUCUUGUCCACGAUGGAAACGAACGAAUUGACUUAUUUUACCAAGCUUUACCGGGACAGCCUGGUUUCUGCUAUACCUAACGUUAACUCCUCCCCCCCCUCCCUUCGCUCUUUCCCUCCUUCUCUCUUUCUCCGGCGCUCGCUCUUUUUUUUUUUUUUUUCUCUCUUCCAUUCCCGUUCCCAUUCUUGUUCCUAUUCCCCAUUCCUAUUUCCGUUCUCUUCCCUUCCUUUCCCAGCAUUUCGUCUUCCAGGCAACCCCUUCCCCCGCUUUGAUUUACGACCAUAAGUUGUAAUAUUUGCGCCACUAUUGUAUGGUAAUACGCACAGCAAAAAAUAUGUUAAUGGUUGCCAUAAAGAAGAUAUACAGCACGUACAUAUACAUAUGUAUCCCAUUUCGCGGCAUAUACUUGCUGUACAUAUAGAAACUCCACUCUCGACAUCCCAUCUCUUUCAUUUUCCUCCAAAUGGUAUCCUCCGCUUUCUUCUCUUUCUCUUAUUGUAUUUUUCUCUCCUUGUUUAACCUGCUCCCCUCCGUUUCUAUACUUUCUUUACUUUUCCCUUUCUUACCUUUCCUGUUUUCAAACGGUAUUUCGAACGGUAUCGCUUUCGUCGAUUUAACUAACGAAAGUACGAGCGUACGAAGAUCGCUAAAAUAUAGUACUAUAUUUCUUCUUGCUUUUAAAUCGUUCGUUGGUCGAUGCGUAGUUACGACCGGUGAUAUACCCCAACGGUAACGAUAAAACGAUGUCGAUAUCGAACUAAAAUAAUCGACGGCGUUUAUUUUUCGAACAUCGGAUGAAACUUUCUCGAAUAUCGUACUACGUAAAAUAUAUGUGGAUAUAUCGUACGUAGAUCGUGUUUCUCCGCUACGUAGACGUAAACUAGCACUGCUUUGUUCUUGCAUCAUCGAUCGAGCAAUAUCGAACGAUCGAUUGAAAUUUAUCGAUCGGUAUUGGGACGCUGAGAUCGUGUCGUUUCGCCUUCGUAAUCCCUUUUUCGCUACCACGGCUGCUGUUGCUGCUGCCUCUACCGCUGCUGCCGCUGCUGCCACUGCUGCUGCGCUUCUCUCUUCCAUAACUCGAACAAUUCCAAUAGUCGUUAAUCUGUCGGAAACUUUCGGAAAACUUGCCGUUAUUGCAGGUACAGAGGAGAGCAGUCCAUGCAAGUAGGAUAAGCGGAGAAGCGCAAGGAGAAGGAGAAUGGUAGAGAGGAAUUGGGGUAAGAUGAGAUGAGAUGAGAUGAGAUGAGAUGAGACGAGAUGGGAUGAGAUGAGACGAGAUAAGAUAAAACGAGAUGAGAGGAGACGAGAUGGGACGAGACGAGACGAGACGAGACAAAAUGAGAUGAGAUGAGAUGAGAUGAGAUGAGAUGAGAUGGGAAGAGAGAGAAGAUAAAAGAGAGUAGAGAAGAGGAGAAAGAUGGUCGAGUAGGCGAAGAAGAAGCCUAUUUGAUGGGAGGUGGAAGGGUUCGGAGAAAGGAGUUCGCAGGGCAGAUUCCACGCAGAGAUGCGACUCUAGAAGAGUCGAGGGAGAAUGGGGAUGGGAACCGGUGUGCCGAGGAUCGAGGACCGGUUGAAAAGCGAACGAACGAAUAAAGGAGCGAGGAGGAGAGGAGAGGAGAGGAGAGGAGAAGAGAGGGCACGUAAAAAAGGAUGUUGAAAGGAGGAGAAGAGAGGUGCCGCGUGAACGAGAAAAGAAAAAAAAAAGAAAAGGACGAACCGGCUCUGCUCGCCAGCUGACGGUCUCGUGCCGCAACCCAAAACUCUUUUCGAAGAUUCGGUUGCCGGUAUUUGUAUAUCACGUAUGGUACCCGCGCAACUUGGCUGUUUUUGCGCUACCUGCCGUUGCUGACCCUCGCGACUCUGGCUACUCGAUCUUUAUCGAUUCCACUCGAUCGAUUUCGCAACGUAACCUUUCGACCGUACACGCUUCCACGCGAAAUAAUCAGUCGAUCGAUCUUUGACCGUACCUAAAAGCCACAGAGACAAUAGUAUUGUUCGUAUCAUAGAAGAAAUUGCCGCGGACGAGAACGAUGUCGUUCGCAUUCGUUGUUCCUCCUCUUGCGCAAUUCUCUUCGUCCGCUCGCUCGUCUUCGUCGCAUUCCCGUUGGUAUUGAUCCGUUGAGUUUUCGAAAGUAAAAUAGGUUAUGCCGUGAAUCGCACGGAACUACAACUCCGGACAGCAACGAACGAGACGAAGCGGUGGUAUGGAACAGAAACGAUGAGAACAGGAACGAUGAGAAACGGAACGAAAAGAGCGACGAACGAGCUGGAUCCACGGAUGAAUACGAAUACGUCGCUUAAACUGUGUGGAUACCGCCUAUACCAAUGUGCAAGUUUACACGAAGAAGAAACCGUGGUUACACUAAGGGGGCCGAGGAGAACGGGUGGGGACCAACUGGCGAAGCCAAAGGAAGAGACGGGGAGUUUGCAAAGUUUCGAGAUUCAAGAGCGCUGCUCUCAAUACGACAAGUUUGUGCAAACAAGAACUUACUUCGAAGGAUGGAUAAUGUCGCAGAUAAAUCAACGAAAUUUAAUAAAUCGACGUCUCUAAGA